UACGUAGGGGGCUAGCGUUGUCCGGAUUUAUUGGGCGUAAAGAGCGUGUAGGCGGCCAGGUAGGUCUGCUGUGAAAACUCGAGGCUCAACCUCGAGACGUCGGCGGAAACCAUCUGGCUAGAGUCCGGAAGAGGAGAGUGUAAUUCCUGGUGUAGCGGUGAAAUGCGCAGAUAUCAGGAAGAACACCCGUGGCGAAGGCGGCUCUCUGGGACGGUACUGACGCUGAGACGCGAAAGCGUGGGGAGCGAACAGG
rnacentral:rRNA from 1 species